rnacentral:rRNA from 1 species
GCUCAAAUUUGAAAUCUGACGUUCAUAUUGACGUUCGAGUUGUAAUUUGGAGGAGCGCCUUCGGGAGCCAACGCCGUUCUAAGUUCUUUUGGAACUGGACAUCACAGAGGGUGAGAAUCCCGUGCGUGGGCGGCAGUCUGGUUCCCAUACGAAGUGUUUCCGACGAGUCGAGUUGUUUGGGAAUGCAGCUCAAAAUGGGUGGUAAAUUUCAUCUAAAGCUAAAUACAGGCGAGAGACCGAUAGCGCACAAGUAGAGUGAUCGAAAGAUGAAAAGCACUUUGAAAAGAGAGUUAAACAGUACGUGAAAUUGUUGAAAGGGAAGCGCUUGAGAUUGAACUUUUCGACAGGAUGGAGCUGUGCGAGGGUCUCGGCCCUUGUACACCCCUCCGUCCUCCCUCCAACCACCAUCGGUUCCGGCGGCGAGAAAAACGAUUGGGGAAUGUGGCUCCCCUCGGGGAGUGUUAUAGACCUAGCCGAGAUUUGCGCCAGCUGGGACCGAGGAAACGAGCGAGCGUGGGGGUUUUAUUAUCCCCAUGACCUCAAGGAUGU